AGGUAUUAUAUCAUAAAGAGAGAUAUUGAACAGUACCACAGUUAAUGCGGCUAAAACUGUACUGUUAUUACUAUCUG
rnacentral:tRNA from 1 species